AAGCCAUUCUGUUGUUGAUUUACUUCUAUGCUUUGGGUCAUUGUCCUGUUGCAACACCCAUCUUCUGUUGAGCUUCAGCUGGUAGACAGAUGGCCUUAAGUGUCCUCCAAAAUGUCUUGAUAAACUUGGGAAUUCAUUUUUCCUUCGAUGAUAGCAAUCCGUCCAGGCCCUGAUGCAGCAAAGCAGCCCCUAACCAUGAUGCCCCCACCAC
rnacentral:lncRNA from 1 species